rnacentral:rRNA from 1 species
AUUGAACGCUGGCGGCAUGCCUUACACAUGCAAGUCGAACGGUAACAGGUUAAGCUGACGAGUGGCGAACGGGUGAGUAAUGUAUCGGAACGUGCCCAGUCGUGGGGGAUAACUGCUCGAAAGAGCAGCUAAUACCGCAUACGACCUGAGGGUGAAAGCGGGGGAUCGCAAGACCUCGCGCGAUUGGAGCGGCCGAUAUCAGAUUAGGUAGUUGGUGAGGUAAAGGCUCACCAAGCCGACGAUCUGUAGCUGGUCUGAGAGGACGACCAGCCACACUGGGACUGAGACACGGCCCAGACUCCUACGGGAGGCAGCAGUGGGGAAUUUUGGACAAUGGGCGCAAGCCUGAUCCAGCCAUGCCGCGUGCGGGAAGAAGGCCUUCGGGUUUUAAACCGCUUUUGUCAGGGAAGAAAAGGUUCUGGCUAAUACCUGGGACUCAUGACGGUACCUGAAGAAUAAGCACCGGCUAACUACGUG